AAUAAAAAAGUAGUGGGAUGAUGUCUGAAAUAAAAAAGUAGUGGGAUGAUGUCUGAAAUAAAAAAGUAGUGGGAUGAUGUCUGAAAUAAAAAAAAGUAGUGGGAUGAUGUCUGAAAUAAAAAAAGUAGUGGGAUGAUGUCUGAAAUAAAAAAAAGUAGUGGGAUGAUGUCUGAAAUAAAAAAAAGUAGUGGGAUGAUGUCUGAAAUUAAAAUUAAUAUUAAAAAGUAGUGGGAUGAUGUCUGAAAUAAAAAAAAGUAGUGGGAUGAUGUCUGAAAUAAAAAAAGUAGUGGGAUGAUGUCUGAAAUUAAAAUUAAUAUUAAAAAGUAGUGGGAUGAUGUCUGAAAUAAAAAAAGUAGUGGGAUGAUGUCUGAAAUAAAAAAAGUAGUGGGAUGAUGUCUGAAAUUUAAAAAAAGUAGUGGGAUGAUGUCUGAAAUUAAAAUUAAUAUUAAAAAGUAGUGGGAUGAUGUCUGAAAUUAAAAUUAAUAUUAAAAAGUAGUGGGAUGAUGUCUGAAAUAAAAAAAAGUAGUGGGAUGAUGUCUGAAAUUAAAAUUAAUAUUAAAAAGUAGUGGGAUGAUGUCUGAAAUAAAAAAGUAGUGGGAUGAUGUCUGAAAUUAAAAUUAAUAUUAAAAAGUAGUGGGAUGAUGUCUGAAAUAAAAAAAAGUAGUGGGAUGAUGUCUGAAAUAAAAAAAGUAGUGGGGUGAUGUCUGAAAUAAAAAAAGUAGUGGGAUGAUGUCUGAAAUUAAAAAGUAGUGGGAUGAUGUCUGAAAUAAAAAUUAAAAAGUAGUGGGAUGAUGUCUGAAAUUAAAAAGUAGUGGGAUGAUGUCUGAAAUUAAAAAGUAGUGGGAUGAUGUCUGAAAUUAAAAAGUAGUGGGAUGAUGUCUGAAAUUAAAAAGUAGUGGGAUGAUGUCUGAAAUAAAAAUAAAAAUUAAAAAGUAGUGGGAUGAUGUCUGAAAUUAAAAAGUAGUGGGAUGAUGUCUGAAAUUAAAAAGUAGUGGGAUGAUGUCUGAAAUUAAAAAGUAGUGGGAUGAUGUCUGAAAUAAAAAAAAAGUAGUGGGAUGAUGUCUGAAAAACAAAUGGGGAAAAAAGUAGUGGGAUGAUGUCUGAAAUUAAAAAGUAGUGGGAUGAUGUCUGAAAUUAAAAAGUAGUGGGAUGAUGUCUGAAAUUAAAAAGUAGUGGGAUGAUGUCUGAAAUAAAAAAAAUAGUGGGAUGAUGUCUGAAAUUAAAAAGUAGUGGGAUGAUGUCUGAAAUUAAAAAGUAGUGGGAUGAUGUCUGAAAUUAAAAAGUAGUGGGAUGGUGUCUGAAAUUAAAAAGUAGUGGGAUGAUGUCUGAAAUUAAAAAGUAGUGGGAUGAUGUCUGAAAAACAAAUGGGAAAAAAGUAGUGAGAUGAUGUCUGAAAUUAAAAAGUAGUGGGAUGAUGUCUGAAAUUAAAAAGUAGUGGGAUGAUGUCUGAAAUAAAAAAAAGUAGUGGGAUGAUGUCUGAAAUUAAAAAGUAGUGGGAUGAUGUCUGAAAUUAAAAAGUAGUGGGAUGAUGUCUGAAAUUAAAAAGUAGUGGGAUGAUGUCUGAAAUUAAAAAGUAGUGGGAUGAUGUCUGAAAUUAAAAAGUAGUGGGAUGAUGUCUGAAAUUAAAAAAGUAGUGGGAUGAUGUCUGAAAUUAAAAAGUAGUGGGAUGAUGUCUGAAAUUAAAAAGUAGUGGGAUGAUGUCUGAAAUUAAAAAGUAGUGGGAUGGUGUCUGAAAUUAAAAAGUAGUGGGAUGAUGUCUGAAAUUAAAAAGUAGUGGGAUGAUGUCUGAAAAACAAAUGGAAAAAAAGUAGUGGGAUGAUGUCUGAAAUUAAAAAGUAGUGGGAUGAUGUCUGAAAUUAAAAAGUAGUGGGAUGAUGUCUGAAAUAAAAAAAGUAGUGGGGUGAUGUCUGAAAUAAAAAAGUAGUGGGAUGAUGUCUGAAAUAAAAAUUAAAUUUAAAAAGUAGUUGGAUGAUGUCUGAAAUUAAAAAGUAGUGGGAUGAUGUCUGAAAUUAAAAAGUAGUGGGAUGAUGUCUGAAAUUAAAAUUACAAUUAAAAAGUACUGGGAUGAUGUCUGAAAUUAAAAAGUAGUGGGAUGAUGUCUGAAAUUGAAAAGUAGUGGGAUGAUGUCUGAAAUUAAAAAGUAGUGGGAUGAUGUCUGAAAUAAAAAAAGUAGUGGGGUGAUGUCUGAAAUAAAAAAGUAGUGGGAUGAUGUCUGAAAUAAAAAAGUAGUGGGAUGAUGUCUGAAAUUAAAAAGUAGUGGGAUGAUGUCUGAAAAACAAAUGGAAAAAAAAUAGUGGGAUGAUGUCUGAAAUUAAAAAGUAGUGGGAUGAUGUCUGAAAUUAAAAAGUAGUGGGAUGAUGUCUGAAAAACAAAUGGAAAAAAAAUAGUGGGAUGAUGUCUGAAAUUAAAAAGUAGUGGGAUGAUGUCUGAAAUUAAAAAGUAGUGGGAUGAUGUCUGAAAUUAAAAAGUAGUGGGAUGGUGUCUGAAAUUAAAAAGUAGUGGGAUGAUGUCUGAAAUUAAAAAGUAGUGGGAUGAUGUCUGAAAUUAAAAUUACAAUUAAAAAGUAGUGGGAUGAUGUCUGAAAUUAAAAAGUAGUGGGAUGAUGUCUGAAAUUGAAAAGUAGUGGGAUGAUGUCUGAAAUUAAAAUUACAAUUAAAAAGUAGUGGGAUGAUGUCUGAAAUUAAAAAGUAGUGGGAUGAUGUCUGAAAUUAAAAAGUAGUGGGAUGAUGUCUGAAAUUAAAAAGUAGUGGGAUGAUGUCUGAAAUAAAAAAAAUAGUGGGAUGAUGUCUGAAAUUAAAAAGUAGUGGGAUGAUGUCUGAAAUUAAAAAGUAGUGGGAUGAUGUCUGAAAUUAAAAAGUAGUGGGAUGGUGUCUGAAAUUAAAAAGUAGUGGGAUGAUGUCUGAAAUUAAAAAGUAGUGGGAUGAUGUCUGAAAUUAAAAUUACAAUUAAAAAGUAGUGGGAUGAUGUCUGAAAUUAAAAAGUAGUGGGAUGAUGUCUGAAAUUGAAAAGUAGUGGGAUGAUGUCUGAAAUUAAAAUUACAAUUAAAAAGUAGUGGGAUGAUGUCUGAAAUUAAAAAGUAGUGGGAUGAUGUCUGAAAUUAAAAAGUAGUGGGAUGAUGUCUGAAAUUAAAAAGUAGUGGGAUGAUGUCUGAAAUAAAAAAAAGUAGUGGGAUGAUGUCUGAAAUUAAAAAGUAGUGGGAUGAUGUCUGAAAUUAAAAAGUAGUGGGAUGAUGUCUGAAAUUAAAAAGUAGUGGGAUGAUGUCUGAAAUAAAAAAAAGUAGUGGGAUGAUGUCUGAAAUUAAAAAGUAGUGGGAUGAUGUCUGAAAUUAAAAAAAAUAAUAAUAAUAUUCCCAGUUUUAGUCUAUACUGUGUUAUUAUAUUGAAUGAACAGUCUAUACGUUUUGAAAACAACUAUGGCAACAAGCUGUCUUCAUCAGGGUAUGACAAUAACAUCUUUAACAAAUGUAUCUAAAUUAAGUUAGGAUUUGCUUCCUGUAACAACGAGACUACUCAAAAUGUGCUCCUGUGUGACUCAGCGGGUAGGGCAAGGCACUUGCAAAAAGGCAAGAAAUGUGUGUUUGAUUCCAGCUGAGGCCACCCACGGGUAUGCACGCGUGACUUGCUUCGGAUAAAAAGCAGUCUGCUGAAUGGCUC